GCAUCGAUGAAGAACGUAGCGAAAUGCGAUACGUAAUGUGAAUUGCAGAUUUUGUGGAUCAUCGAAUUUUGAACGCAUAUUGCGCCC
rnacentral:rRNA from 1 species